rnacentral:rRNA from 1 species
UUUUAAAAGACCUGUUUCAGAUUCUCAAAAACCUAUUUCAAUCAUUUUCAGAAACUGAUUUUAGCUAUUUCAAAAGACCGGUUUCAGUUUCUCAAAAACCUAUUUCAGUUUUCCAAUUGACCAAUUUCAAUUAUUUCAGAAAAUAUGGUUCACACAUAUGAAUUCCUUGGGAUUUCACAUAUGAAUUUGACAAAAUAUAUUUCAUAUUUCAACAAUAUCACUUUCAGUUUACAUAUCCAUAAAUCUAAUAUGGACUAAUAUCACUUUCUUUCGCAAAUCUGAACAAAAUAACUCUUGCAUGUGUCACAAAAUCAGAUAGGUGCCAUAUUUCGCAUAUAUGAACCAUAAAUCUCUUCCAUAUAUCACAAAACCAGAUUUCUCUUUCACUUGAAUGGAUUUCAGAAGGAAAAAAAUCAGUUCUAUAUGAACCAUAAAUCUCUUCCAUAGUUCACAAAACAAGAUUUCACCUUCACAAAUCUAACACUGAACAUACAUCACAAGCUGAGAAAAAUUCAGAAAAAAAGAAAACAUUGGUAGGAGCGAUUUCUUUCAAUGGUCCCAAAUAUUCAGAGGAUAAUCGCCAUUUAUCUAGGUAAGAACCAAUAUCAUGCAAAAUAUAAAAAUCAUGAAGAACAGGAGAAAAGGAACGAGAAAAUUGGCUUCUUAGCUCACCAGAAGAGUUGGGGAAGGAGGGUACGGAUCCGACGGCGACAAACUACCGGAGCACGACUGCCGGGGGGUACCCGUCUACGCACCAUCUCGGUGGCAUCACGGCGGCCGGAGCAGCCAGAUCUGGACGUUGCUGCGUAGGGGAGGCCAGAUCUGGUCUUCUAUGGCGACAGGCUGCCGGAGCACGGAGCGGCGGUGGCGGCGGGCUGCAGGAGCACGGAGCUGCGGUGGCGGCGGCCUGCCGGAGGAGCAACCGAGAGAGAGAGGAAGGGGGGAGGGAGAGAGAGAGAGAGUCAGCCUCACGGGUCGUCGUUAGGGUGUCAGGGUAUAUAAAGUCGGUCGUGGGCGUGGGUGGGUACCGAUGUAUUUUGCUA